UCAUAGUUAAAGACCAAACCAUGCCUUCCACAGCCGACAACCUCCUUGCUAUUAUUCACUCUGCACCCCAUGCCUCGCCAGAGCUCACCCCGACCCCAGCUGCUCUCAGGCCAUGAACAGCCCCUGAUUUGGGGCCACCGCUGCUGCUGUGUGGAGACAGAAUGCUGUGUACUAACCCAGGAGUAUCUGCAGAGGAGACCAGUCCCACAGUGCACUAACAUCGAACAAUUGGCGCUAGACUGUCGUCCCCCUUGCAUGCUUCCUCAGCCUGUCCAGUUCUGUGGACCCUCAGAGUGACAAAGCAGGAUGGUAAUCUUUGACCACGCGGGGAUCAUCACCUUCUACAUGUGGUGCAGCCUCUCAGAUGCAAAGUUGUCUAUAGCUUAAUAAACACCAAGUGCUCUCUCA